rnacentral:tRNA from 1 species
UCCUCCUGUACUUUUAAAGGAUCUUA